rnacentral:rRNA from 1 species
GGCUCAGAUUGAACGCUGGCGGCGUGCUUAACACAUGCAAGUCGCGCGUGAAAGGACUUCGGUCCGAGUAAAGCGGCGCACGGGUGAGUAACGCGUGGAUGAUCUACCCAUGAGUUAGGAAUAACGGCUGGAAACGGUCGCUAAUACCAAAUACGCUCCGAUUUCAACUUCGGGGGAAAGGUGGCCUCUGCUUGCAAGCUACUGCUCAUGGAUGAGUCCGCGUCCCAUUAGCUAGUUGGUGGGGUAACGGCCCACCAAGGCGACGAUGGGUAGCCGGUCUGAGAGGAUGACCGGCCACACUGGGACUGGAACACGGCCCAGACUCCUACGGGAGGCAGCAGUGGGGAAUAUUGCGCAAUGGGCGAAAGCCUGACGCAGCGACGCCGCGUGAGGGAUGAAGGUCCUCGGAUCGUAAACCUCUGUCAGGAGGGAAGAACCGCCACGGUGCUAAUCAGCCGUGGUCUGACGGUACCUCCAAAGGAAGCACCGGCUAACUCCGUGCCAGCAGCCGC